rnacentral:rRNA from 1 species
UACGGGGGGGGCAAGCGGUGUUCGGAAUUACUGGGCGGAAAGGGUUUGUAGGUGGCUUGUUAAGGCAGACGUGAAAUCCCUCAGCUUAACUGGGGAACUGCGUCUGAGACUGGUGAGCUUGAGUGCAGGAGAGGAACGCGGAAUUCCAGGUGUAGCGGUGAAAUGCGUAGAUAUCUGGAGGAACACCAGAGGCGAAGGCGGCAACCUGGACAAGCACUGACACUCAACUGCGAAAGCGUGGGGAGCAAACAGG